rnacentral:rRNA from 1 species
GACGAACGCUGGCGGCGUGCUUAACACAUGCAAGUCGAACGCUAAAGCCCUUCGGGGUGGAUGAGUGGCGAACGGGUGAGUAACACGUAGGUAAUCUGCCCUGCACUCUGGGAUAAGCCUUGGAAACGGGGUCUAAUACCGGAUAGGACACAUCGCCGCAUGGUGUGUGUGUGGAAAGUUCCGGCGGUGCAGGUUGAGCCCGCGGCCUAUCAGCUUGUUGGUGGGGUGAUGGCCUACCAAGGCGACGACGGGUAGCCGGCCUGAGAGGGUGACCGGCCACACUGGGACUGAGACACGGCCCAGACUCCUACGGGAGGCAGCAGUGGGGAAUCUUGCGCAAUGGGCGAAAGCCUGACGCAGCAACGCCGCGUGGGGGAUGACGGCCUUCGGGUUGUAAACCUCUUUCGACCGGGACGAAGGAUUCGUUUGACGGUACCGGUAGAAGAAGCACCGGCUAACUACGUGCCAGCCGCCGCAGUAAAAC